CCUACGGGAGGCAGCAGUGGGGAAUCUUGCGCAAUGGGCGAAAGCCUGACGCAGCAACGCCGCGUGCGGGAUGAAGGCCUUCGGGUUGUAAACCGCUUUCAGCAGGGAAGAAAUUGACGGUACCUGCAGAAGAAGCCCCGGCCAACUACGUGCCAGCAGCCGCGGUAACACGUAGGGGGCGAGCGUUGUCCGGAUUUAUUGGGCGUAAAGAGCUCGUAGGCGGUUCGGUAAGUCGGGUGUGAAACCUCCAGGCUCAACCUGGAGACGCCACCUGAUACUGUUGUGACUAGAGUCCGGUAGGGGAGUGUGGAACUCCUGGUGUAGCGGUGAAAUGCGCAGAUAUCAGGAAGAACACCAGCGGCGAAGGCGGCACUCUGGGCCGGUACUGACGCUGAGGAGCGAAAGCGUGGGUAGCAAACAGGAUUAGAUACCCUGGUAGUCCACGCCGUAAACGUUGGGCACUAGGUGUGGGUCUCAACCAACGAGAUCCGUGCCGCAGCUAACGCAUUAAGUGCCCCGCCUGGGGAGUCGGCCGCAAGGCUAAAACUCAAAGGAAUUGACGGCUGAGACCGNGCGACGACGACGACGAGGAGAGG
rnacentral:rRNA from 1 species